UACGUAGGGUGCGAGCGUUAAUCGGAAUUACUGGGCGUAAAGCGUGCGCAGGCGGUUCGCCGUGUCCGAUGUGAAAGCCCCGGGCUUAACCUGGGAAUGGCAUUGGAAACUGGCGGGCUUGAGUGUGGCAGAGGGGGGUGGAAUUCCACGUGUAGCGGUGAAAUGCGUAGAGAUGUGGAGGAACACCGAUGGCGAAGGCAGCCUCCUGGGCCAACACUGACGCUCAUGCACGAAAGCGUGGGGAGCAAACAGG
rnacentral:rRNA from 1 species